rnacentral:rRNA from 1 species
AUGAACGCUGGCGGUGUGCCUCAUCCAUGCAAGUCGAGCGAACAGACGAGGAGCUUACUCCUCUGACGUUAGCGGCGGACGGGUGAGUAACACGUGGAUAACCUACCUAUAAGACUGGGAUAACUUCGGGAAACCGGAGCUAAUACCGGAUAACAUGUUGAACCGCAUGGUUCAACAGUGAAAGACGGUCUUGCUGUCACUUAUAGAUGGAUCCGCGUCGCAUUAGCUAGUUGGUAAGGUAACGGCUUACCAAGGCAACGAUGCGUAGCCGACCUGAGAGGGUGAUCGGCCACACUGGAACUGAGACACGGUCCAGACUCCUACGGGAGGCAGCAGUAGGGAAUCUUCCGCAAUGGGCGAAAGCCUGACGGAGCAACGCCGCGUGAGUGAAGAAGGUCUUCGGAUCGUAAAACUCUGUUAUUAGGGAAGAACAAAUGUGUAGGUAACUAUGCACGUCUUGACGGUACCUAAUCAGAAAGCCACGGCUAACUACGUG